AUAUCACUGCAAAAGCAAAACGGUAUUUCCAUCAUAAAGACCAAGAUAUGUAAUCUUUAUUUUUGGUUUUCCUUUUUUUAAGAAGGCUUUUCCAGUUGCAAACUCUCCAGAGGACUUUGGAUUUCCUGCACUGCCAGCAGACUUUAUAAGAAAUAAUUCUCUCAGAAUAACAAAUGGGAAUCUGAAUGAAAACAUCAACCAUUUAUGGCUUUUAUCUUGUAUUUGGUCAUGAACUUGAAGAGCCUUUACUGAAUAAGUCAAAUGAAAGAGGAGAAACAAUCCACACAGGAAGGCAAAGCUCUUACAAGACUGCCUUUCACCUCAUUUUACUUCAAAAAUGGAUUUGCUUGAAUUUUCCCAUUCUGUUAGAGAGCUGGUAAUGAGCUGUUUAAUGUACAAAGGCAUGCACUGUUUGAUGUACAAAAGGAGACUGAAUCCUUGCUUAAUGUGCAAAACAACUUGGCUUUAACACUGGAGUCUCCACUAUGGUACCCUGCUUAAAACAGAACAUCAUGUUUGUUUGCCUUUCUAAAUAUUAAGAACUUCAUGGCUUCAUUUUGUUCAGGUUUAAAUAUUAUAGUUUAAAUAUUAUAGUUAUAAAUUAUAUUUCAACAGAAGGCAAAUUCUACCAAAAACUUGAAUGGAAACACCCGUGUUUUAACAGGGUUGGCUUUUUAUCCUUUGAUGGCACAAAGCAGUAGGCAGUUCCUCCAUCCAUCAGCUGCGUGUAGAUGAGAGUGAUAAUAAGAUAAUACGUUAUUAUCUUGUGGGUUCUUUCAGGUCACAUUCUGGGACACAUGCUCCCUAGUAUUAGGUCAGUACUGUUUUCAUGUUGCCACAACUGGAACAGGGUUAAAAGCUUUCUCCUUAGAGAAAUCAACAAGUUAGAUUGUCAUUAAAAGAUGCAACAGGAUGUUUAUGAACCACUAAUGGCAUAUUUCUAUGCUUGUUAUUUGUGAAAUACCUGUUAGUAUGGGGAAUAGGAUCAUUGAUUUUCAGUAGGAUUAAAACUAGUAACAUAUUUAGUCCUCAGAGCAAUACCUAGGCAUAUUUACAAAUCUGAUCCUAAGGGAAUUCUGGUUUUCAUCUUCGUAAAUAACUGCAUCUUUAUUAAAAAAAAAAAAAAAAAAAGUUGUAAAAAUGCUUGUACAGGGAUGUACUGAAGUACAUGGUGAAAUCUUGGCUUGUCUGUAUUAGCUGUAGAUCUCCAAGUUACUUAAGUAAAAUCCUGAUUUCAUCCAUGACGGGUACACAAUAAAGUUAUUGUCAUGGGAGUGCA
rnacentral:lncRNA from 1 species